GCCAAAAGUCAUUCCAAUAAAAUCAAAGAAUACUAGUAACUUUUACAACUUAAAAGGACCAAGCAUAGCAAAUAUGAACUCUCAUAAAAACAGUCCAUUAUUCUUUCAGAUAUCAAAAUAUAAUAAAAGAUAGGUUAUGAAUCCAUUCCAUAAUUUUAUGAUCAUUGUAUUAGGGUUCAGAGGUUUGAUGUUUGCUUCAACAGCCCCAUCUUAGCAAGUUAGGACAAAUAAAGAGAAAGGUUGCCAACUAAGUAAGCAAGACUAACUCUCCUCUUUUAGUUAAGGAAUGAAAAAAAUAAAAUU